UACGUAGGGACCAAGCGUUGUUCGGAUUUACUGGGCGUAAAGGGCGCGUAGGCGGCGUGACAAGUCACUUGUGAAAUCUCCGGGCUUAACCCGGAACGGCCAAGUGAUACUGUCGUGCUAGAGUGCAGAAGGGGCAAUCGGAAUUCUUGGUGUAGCGGUGAAAUGCGUAGAUAUCAAGAGGAACACCUGAGGUGAAGACGGGUUGCUGGGCUGACACUGACGCUGACAGCGCGAAAGCUGGGGGAGCGAACAGG
rnacentral:rRNA from 1 species